GAAUCCAGGCCCUACGGGGCGCAGCAGGCGCGAAAACUUUACAAUGCGGGAAACCGUGAUAAGGGAACUCCGAGUGUCCGUAAAUUCGGACUGUCCGUAUGUUUAAAAAGCAUACGAAGAAAGGGCCGGGCAAGACCGGUGCCAGCCGCCGCGGUAAUACCGGCGGCUCGAGUGGUGGCCACUAUUACUGGGCUUAAAGCGUUCGUAGCUUGGUUGUUAAGUCUCCUGGGAAAUCUAUCGGCUUAACCGAUAGGCGUCCAGGGGAUACUGGCAAUCUAGGGACCGGGAGAGGUGAGGGGUACUUCAGGGGUAGGAGUGAAAUCCUGUAAUCCUUGGGGGACCACCUGUGGCGAAGGCGCCUCACCAGAACGGCUCCGACAGUGAGGGACGAAAGCUGGGGGAGCAAACCGGAUUAGAUACCCGGGUAGUCCCAGCCGUAAACGAUGCACGUUAGGUGUAUCGAUGACCACGAGUCAUCGAGGUGCCGAAGGGAAA
rnacentral:rRNA from 1 species